rnacentral:rRNA from 1 species
UUAAAAGCUCGUAGUUGAAUUUCGGGAUUAGUACGUUGGUCGCGCCUUAGGUACGUACUGGUGUUACUGGUUCCUACCUUCUGACGAACCAUCAUGUCAUUAAUUUGGUGUGGCGGGGAAUCAGGACUGUUACUUUGAAAAAAUUAGAGUGUUUAAAGCAGGCUCGCGCUUGAAUACAUUAGCAUGGAAUAAUGAAAUAGGACGUUGAUCCUAUUUUGUUGGUUUCUAGGAUUGACGUAAUGAUUAAUAGGGAUAGUUGGGGG